UCAGAAAUUGACUUCAUUCUCUCUCUCUCUUAUAUUAUUUCAACGCUCACCUUAUUUCCUUCUCAUCCCUCACCUAUCUCUUCGUUCUUCCAUUUUCUUCUGCAAAAGACAGUGAGGCUGGAAGGCCAAGGACCAACACACAUGCAUGCCCAAUUUCCUUCACCUCUCCCUCUCUUGCAUAGCGCAAUAACUGUGCAUCUAUUUCUGACGACAUAUCGCCAUCUUUGGUGAAGGUGUUAGCAAGAAAAACAACUCGAGGGACAUUUUCCAAACUUCUGGAAACUUCAAAAACUGUGGUCAUUUGGCCACUUUCUAGCCAUUAUUCGGGCCAACCUCGUGCUCUAGCCAUUAUUCGGGCCAACCUCGUGCUCCAUCAAUCCUUCCAAGGGUAUGAGUCUCUUCUCUAUAUUCCUAACUUCAGAAUAGCUUUUGAAUCACUCAUUUUGGUUAACUAUCAAAUUAGAAAUUAGCCCUGAAAGUUUGGAAGAAAUUUUGCACAUUUUUCAACAAGAGCUCGUGACCAUUUGGCCACAUUCAGACCAAAUUUCCGAUCAACACCGACCACGUUUGGACUUCUAGUACGUAUGGUCGAUUCCCUACAUUUCUAGCUCCAAAUGGGUUUUCACUACCUCGGAGAUCAGAAAAUACCAAAGAGCGACCGUUUUCGCUACCUAGGAUCUAUCUUGCAAAAGAACGGAGAAUUAGAUGGAGAUCUCAACCAUAGAAUACAAACUGGAUGGAUGAAUAGGAAGAGUGCAUCCGGCGUGUUGUGUGACCGUCGUAGGCCACUAAAGCUCAAGGGAAAAUUUUAUAGGACGGCAAUAAGGCCGGCGAUGCUGUAUGGCACAAAAUGUUGGACGGUGAAGCAUCAACACGUCCACAAAAUGGGUCUGGACAUGUGCAAAGAAGGCCUACUGACACUCCAGUUUGAAGAUGUGACUACGGGAUAGAGAUUCAGGGCCGAAGGGGUAAAGGAAGACCUAGGAAAACUUUGGAAGAGACCCUAAGAAAAGACUUAGAGUACUUGGAUCUAACAGAGGACAUGACACAAAACUGAGCGCAAUGGCGUUCUAGGAUUCAUAUAGCCGACCCCACUUAGUGGGAAAAGGCUUUGUUGUUGUUGUUGUUGUACAAUUUGAAGGGUGUAAAAGGGGCUAAACUUGGGAGUGGCUAACUGUUGUAAGUCUGGGCAAUUGAUUCACUAUGUGCAAAGAGAAAUGCCAGCAACAUUAUUGUCAAA